rnacentral:rRNA from 1 species
UGCAGCAACGCCGCGUGAGGGAUGACGGCCUUCGGGUUGUAAACCUCUUUUAGUAGGGAAGAAGGGAGCUUGCUCUUGACGGUACCUGCAGAAAAAGCACCGGCUAACUACGUGCCAGCAGCCGCGGUAAUACGUAGGGUGCAAGCGUUGUCCGGAAUUAUUGGGCGUAAAGAGCUCGUAGGCGGUUUGUCGCGUCUGCUGUGAAAACCCGAGGCUCAACCUCGGGCCUGCAGUGGGUACGGGCAGACUAGAGUGCGGUAGGGGAGAAUGGAAUUCCUGGUGUAGCGGUGGAAUGCGCAGAUAUCAGGAGGAACACCGAUGGCGAAGGCAGUUCUCUGGGCCGUAACUGACGCUGAGGAGCGAAAGCGUGGGGAGCGAACAGGAUUAGAUACCCUGGUAGUCCACGCCGUAAACGUUGGGCGCUAGAUGUGGGGACCUUUCCACGGUUUCCGUGUCGCAGCUAACGCAUUAAGCGCCCCGCCUGGGGAGUACGGCCGCAAGGCUAAAACUCAAAGGAAUUGACGGGGGCCCGCACAAGCGGCGGAGCAUGCGGAUUAAUUCGAUGCAACGCGAAGAACCUUACCAAGGCUUGACAUAUACGAGAACGGGCCAGAAAUGGUCAACUCUUU